UACGUAGGUGGCAAGCGUUGUCCGGAUUUACUGGGCGUAAAGAGCGUGUAGGCGGCUCGAUAAGUCUGCUGUGAAAGUCCAGGGCUCAACCCUGGAAGGCCGGUGGAAACUGUCGGGCUAGAGUCCGGAAGAGGCGAGUGGAAUUCCCGGUGUAGCGGUGAAAUGCGCAGAUAUCGGGAGGAACACCAAUGGCGAAGGCAGCUCGCUGGGACGGUACUGACGCUGAGACGCGAAAGCGUGGGGAGCAACAGGG
rnacentral:rRNA from 1 species